CACACUUGCUUAUCAAGAAAAGAAGGCAGGCCGGGCGGUGGUGGCGCACGCCUUUAAUCCCAGCACUCGGGAGGCAGAGGCAGGCGGAUCUCUGUGAGUUCGAGGCCAGGCUAGACCGACAGCCUCCAAAACAAUCGGAGAAAUCCUGUCUUGUAAAAAAAGAAAAGAAGGCAGGCAGGGGACCUCGUUCUAUCUGGAUCGCCCAUUGGAAGACACUGCCGACUCUGAAUGAGUUCCAGGUUCCACUCCAUUCAUCUCAAGAUCAACCAUACCUUUGUCAGAAUGGAGAAGACUCAGCUACAUUGAGACCCCAAAGGGAAAGGAGAAUAAGGAAACCCCCAGAUGCCAAAGACAAAAGAGGAACUGAAAAUAUCAGCAAAGUUGAGAGUUGAACACCCUACCAGGAUAUGAAACAGAAGCUUCUCCUGAGCCAUCCAGCCUGGUUUCUAUAGCAUCAAAGAGACCCUCUUACAAACAGCAUGGAAAGGCAAGGAGCAACAACUGGAUUGUCACCUGACCUCUACGCUUUUUCCAUGGCACACACCCACCGGCACCUCCACCCGUGAAUGCACAUGCACUCCCUCCCAAGUAAUACUAAUCCAAAUGUCCUGGUCAACUAUGGAAGACAAACAAGACAGUGUACAUUUUUCAUGAAGAUUAUGAUGACAUCGAACAAAAGAAUUUCAUGAGCAUUCAACUCCAUUUUGAGAACACAAAAAGAGAUAGGAUUCCUGACAUCUCUGUCAGUCAAAGCACACUACUAAGCAAAGUUUAAUGAAAUAAAG